rnacentral:rRNA from 1 species
GACGUAGGGCGCGAGUGUUGUCCGGAUUUAUUGGGCGUAAAGAGCUCGUAGGCGGCUUGUCGCGUCGAAUGUGAAAUCUCGGGGCUCAACUCCGAGCUUGCAUUCGAUACGGGCAGGCUAGAGUUCGGUAGGGGAGACUGGAAUUCCUGGUGUAGCGGUGAAAUGCGCAGAUAUCAGGAGGAACACCGGUGGCGAAGGCGGGUCUCUGGGCCGAUACUGACGCUGAGGAGCGAAAGCGUGGGGAGCGAACAGG